rnacentral:rRNA from 1 species
AUUGAACGCUGGCGGAAUGCUUUACACAUGCAAGUCGAACGGCAGCACGGACUUCGGUCUGGUGGCGAGUGGCGAACGGGUGAAUAAUGUAUCGGAACGUGCCCAGUCGUGGGGGAUAACGUAGGGAAAAUUACGCUAAUACCGCAUACGAUCUAUGGAUGAAAGCGGGGGAUCGCAAGACCUCGCGCGAUUGGAGCGGCCGAUAUCAGAUUAGGUAGUUGGUGGGGUAAAGGCCCACAAAGCCAACGAUCUGUAGCUGGUCUGAGAGGACGACCAGCCACACUGGAACUGAGACACGGUCCAGACUCCUACGGGAGGCAGCAGUGGGGAAUUUUGGACAAUGGGCGAAAGCCUGAUCCAGCCAUUCCGCGUGCAGGAUGAAGGCCCUCGGGUUGUAAACUGCUUUUGUACAGAACGAAAAGGUUUCUACUAAUACUAGGAGCUCAUGACGGUACUGUAAGAAUAAGCACCGGCUAACUACGUGCCAGCCGCCGCCGUAA